GACAGAGGUCCCGAGCGUUAGGCGGAAUCACUGGGCUUAAAGCGUGUGUAGGCGGAUUGGUAAGUACCUUGUGAAAUCCCACGGCUUAACCGUGGAACUGCUUGGUACACUGCUUAUCUUGGGCCACUUAGGGGCUACCGGAACAAACGGUGGAGCGGUGAAAUGCGUAGAUAUCGUUUGGAACGCCAAUGGUGAAAACAGGUAGCUGGGAGUGUGCCGACGCUGAGACACGAAAGCCAGGGGAGCGAACGGG
rnacentral:rRNA from 1 species